CUUUGUUCCUGAACACGCAUAGCCUGCCAUGGACUGAGGUUUCCACUCAGAGCCUGGCCACUGGAACUGGAGUUGGUGUCGAUGUGCUUGGUCUCCCAGCGUGUGGUGGUCUGAAUACAGUAUGCAUUUUUUCGUCAACUUUCGAAGACCCUGUGUGCUAAGUCCAGAAGAGAUGGGACAGCCAUCCUUAGCGAAAAUUCCGAGCCGAAGCUAUACAUCUUUUUGCAGUACCACUGUCAGGACGAGAAAGGUCCCAUAGUUCUGUUGGAGAAAAAAGUGGGAGUUGAGUGAUUGGCCACGUUCCCUUCAAGUCGCUGUUUCACGUGUCACUACAGAGUCGUCAUCUCUGUUAUUCCCUCUGGAAAGGAAUAUAAAAAUGUUCUUCCGUGUAUUGCAAAGAGUCAUAAUUCAGCGCCCGGAACAUCAGCCUUGUCAACCUCCAACCGCUCACAGAAGGAAAAUUAAGAGUUUCACGUGAUGCGAUUGAACAUAUGGUUGAGAGAUACUUUCUUUAAAAAUCGUCCUUAACAUUCUCGAAGUCGGUGUGAACAUUUGGAAGUCACUGCUUCUCCAAAAAAGGCCAUCAUUCAUUUUUGCAGUUUCACGUUUUAUUACUUUUUAAGCCCAAUUUUGACUGGAAACAUUACCAAGGUGGCAGUACCACAUUUAGGAGAUCUGCCAACAAGAUGGGAACUGCGAGUUUUAAGCUUGUUGAGAACCACGUACACCACCUUCUGGUGUGAAUACGUGUGUUUUUCCACGUAGGCUAAAAUAAAAUAGGGAAUUUCUGUGUCAUUCCUGACUGUUGGUUAUGUAAUUAUCCAUAGUCACCAUCCAAAGCGGCCUUGGAUUGCUUAUUUGGGAUUCAUUCAUUCAGGCAUUUGCUAAGUAUGUAUUACAAUAUUGUCCUUGGUUUUGAGAACUUUGACAUGGAAUGGUAGAGGCAGACAUUUUUUUAGUUUGACAAAGUAAGACAAAGGUGGUGAGUAUGAG